GAGAAUCAUCGAAUCUUUGAACGCAAAUUGCACUCUCCGGUUUUCCGGGAGAGUAUGCCUUUUUGAGGGUCUGUUUAAAAAAUAAUCGAGGCUGCUGCUGGGGUGGCGCUUCGGAAUUGGGUCAUCUUCCACCUUUCGGGGUUGUAAGCGACCUAAAAUUUUCUUUACGAUUCCACGAACGUUUCUAAUAUAUUUACUUCUUACACGUUUAAGGUAUCGAUCUUUAUUAGACGUGGCCGUUGCAUCGGGUCACUGCCAA
rnacentral:misc_RNA from 1 species